GGGGGAGCAUGUGGUAAAAUUAGAAGCAACGAGAAGCACCUUACCAGGUCUUGACAUACUCGUAGCUAUUCCUAAAGAUAGGAAGUUCCUUCGGGACCCGGGAUACAGGUGGUGCAUGGUUGUCGUCAGCUCGUGUCGUGAGAUGUUGGGUUAAGUCCCGCAACGAGCGCAACCCCUAUUGUUAGUUGCCAUCAUUAAGUUGGGCACUCUAACGAGACUGCCGGUGAUAAACCGGAGGAAGGUGGGGAUGACGUCAAAUCAUCAUGACCCUUUUGACCUGGGCUACACACGCGCUACACUGUGGCUGGGACAACGAGUCGCGAGACACUGAUGUUUAUCUAUUCUCUUAAAACCAUUCUCAGUUCGGAUUGUAUGCUGCGACUCGCCUACAUGAAAACUGAAUCGCUAUUAAUCGCGGAUCUCAACGCCGCGGGGAAUACGUUCCCGGGGCUUGUACACACUGUCCGU
rnacentral:rRNA from 1 species